rnacentral:pre_miRNA from 1 species
UAGACAGAUUAUUGUAUUCGACUGUAUUCACAAUCAAUUCAGUUGUUUUUAAACGGAAAGUGAAUCAAUUAACAUAAUAGACUCCU